UGCAAUAAAUGUCUUGUAAGUAUGUAUACUUUAUCUCCCACCUAUGAGCUCCAGAUAUUAAAGCCUUAUUAGAGUAGGGUGAGAGAGAAGGCAAUGUCACUAUGCCUCAUACCACAAAUACCACAUAUCUUGAGAGAAGGCAUAUACCAUCACUGCCUUGGUAAGGAUCCAAAAAUACCACAAAAGAGAGACCUGAGAGAAUCAUACAAGGAAUCUCUGAGUUUUAUUUGAAAAUCUGCAAAAACCCCAGAGCUAUAGCUGAUCAAGAAUAAGAGACAUGGCACUUGGCUAGACUGUUCUAUCUUUUAACCACUCA
rnacentral:lncRNA from 1 species